rnacentral:rRNA from 1 species
UACGUAGGGCGCAAGCGUUGUCCGGAAUUAUUGGGCGUAAAGAGCUCGUAGGCGGUUUGUCGCGUCUGCUGUGAAAUCCCGAGGCUCAACCUCGGGCUUGCAGUGUGUACGGGCAGACUAGAGUGCGGUAGGGGAGACUGGAAUUCCUGGUGUAGCGGUGGAAUGCACAGAUAUCAGGAGGAACACCGAUGGCGAAGGCAGGUCUCUGGGCCGCAACUGACGCUGAGGAGCGAAAGCAUGGGGAGCGAACAGG